GCGGCGUGCCUAAUACAUGCAAGUCGAGCGGACAGAUGGGAGCUUGCUCCCUGAUGUCAGCGGCGGACGGGUGAGUAACACGUGGGUAACCUGCCUGUAAGACUGGGAUAACUCCGGGAAACCGGGGGUAAUACCGGAUGCUUGAUUGAACCGCAUGGUUCAAUUAUAAAAGGUGGCUUUUAGCUACCACUUACAGAUGGACCCGCGGCGCAUUAGCUAGUUGGUGAGGUAACGGCUCACCAAGGCGACGAUGCGUAGCCGACCUGAGAGGGUGAUCGGCCACACUGGGACUGAGACACGGCCCAGACUCCUACGGGAGGCAGCAGUAGGGAAUCUUCCGCAAUGGACGAAAGUCUGACGGAGCAACGCCGCGUGAGUGAUGAAGGUUUUCGGAUCGUAAAACUCUGUUGUUAGGGAAGAACAAGUACCGUUCGAAUAGGGCGGUACCUUGACGGUACCUAACCAGAAAGCCACGGCUAACUACGUGCCAGCAGCCGCGGUAAUACGUAGGUGGCAAGCGUUGUCCGGAAUUAUUGGGCGUAAAGCGCGCGCAGGCGGUUUCUUAAGUCUGAUGUGAAAGCCCCCGGCUCAACCGGGGAGGGUCAUUGGAAACUGGGGAACUUGAGUGCAGAAGAGGAGAGUGGAAUUCCACGUGUAGCGGUGAAAUGCGUAGAGAUGUGGAGGAACACCAGUGGCGAAGGCGACUCUUUGGUCUGUAACUGACGCUGAGGCGCGAAAGCGUGGGGAGCGAACAGGAUUAGAUACCCUGGUAGUCCACGCCGUAAACGAUGAGUGCUAAGUGUUAGAGGGUUUCCGCCCUUUAGUGCUGCAGCAAACGCAUUAAGCAC
rnacentral:rRNA from 1 species